rnacentral:rRNA from 1 species
AUUGAACGCUGGCGGCAUGCCUUACACAUGCAAGUCGAACGGUAACAGGUCUUCGGAUGCUGACGAGUGGCGCACGGGUGAGUAAGACACCGGAACGUGCCCGACCGUGGGGGAUAACGAGGCGAAAGCUUUGCUAAUACCGCAUACGAUCUACGGAUGUAAGCGGGGGAUCUUCGGACCUCGCGCGGACGGAGCGGCCGAUGGCAGAUUAGGUAGUUGGUGGGAUAAAAGCUUACCAAGCCGACGAUCUGGAGCUGGUCUGAGAGGAUGAUCAGCCACACUGGGACUGAGACACGGCCCAGACUCCUACGGGAGGCAGCAGUGGGGAAUUUUGGACAAUGGGCGAAAGCCUGAUCCAGCCAUGCCGCGUGCAGGAUGAAGGCCUUCGGGUUGUAAACUGCUUUUGUACGGAACGAAAAGCCUCUUUCUAAUAAAGAGGGGUCAUGACGGUACCGUAAGAAUAAGCACCGGCUAACUACGUG